CACCCCGUGCGCACGCCUAUGCUGUGUAGUAAUACAAUGUGAGAAGGAUAUUACUUCACUGCAGAUCAAUUUAGAUUGGGGGACUGGGCACUCAAAUGGUAGAUGACAUUUAAUGUAGAUAAAUGCAAAGCUAUGCACUUGGGGGUAAAAGAAUGCACAAGCAACUUACACCCUAAAUUGUAGUGAAUUAGGGAUAACAACACAUGAGAAC